UACGUAGGGGGCAAGCGUUGUCCGGAAUCAUUGGGCGUAAAGCGCGUGUAGGCGGCUUGGUAAGUCCGUUCUGAAAGCCCGGGGCUCAACCCCGGGAGGCGGAUGGAUACUGUCAAGCUUGAGUCCGGAAGAGGCGAGUGAAAUUCCCGGUGUAGCGGUGAAAUGCGCAGAUAUCGGGAGGAACACCAAUGGCGAAGGCAGCUCGCUGGGACGUGACUGACGCUGAGACGCGAAAGCGUGGGGAGCAAACAGG
rnacentral:rRNA from 1 species